GACGAACGCUGGCGGCGUGCCUAAUACAUGCAAGUAGAACGCUGAAGGAGGAGCUUGCUUCUCUGGAUGAGUUGCGAACGGGUGAGUAACGCGUAGGUAACCUGCCUGGUAGCGGGGGAUAACUAUUGGAAACGAUAGCUAAUACCGCAUAAGAGUAGAUGUUGCAUGACAUUUGCUUAAAAGGUGCAAUUGCAUCACUACCAGAUGGACCUGCGUUGUAUUAGCUAGUUUGUGAGGUAACGGCUCACCAAGGCGACGAUACAUAGCCGACCUGAGAGGGUGAUCGGCCACACUGGGACUGAGACACGGCCCAGACUCCUACGGGAGGCAGCAGUAGGGAAUCUUCGGCAAUGGACGGAAGUCUGACCGAGCAACGCCGCGUGAGUGAAGAAGGUUUUCGGAUCGUAAAGCUCUGUUGUAAGAGAAGAACGAGUGUGAGAGUGGAAAGUUCACACUGUGACGGUAUCUUACCAGAAAGGGACGGCUAACUACGUG
rnacentral:rRNA from 1 species